rnacentral:rRNA from 1 species
GACGAACGCUGGCGGCGUGCCUAAUACAUGCAAGUCGAACGCUUCUUUCCUCCCGAGUGCUUGCACUCAAUUGGAAAGAGGAGUGGCGGACGGGUGAGUAACACGUGGGUAACCUACCCAUCAGAGGGGGAUAACACUUGGAAACAGGUGCUAAUACCGCAUAACAGUUUAUGCCGCAUGGCAUAAGAGUGAAAGGCGCUUUCGGGUGUCGCUGAUGGAUGGACCCGCGGUGCAUUAGCUAGUUGGUGAGGUAACGGCUCACCAAGGCCACGAUGCAUAGCCGACCUGGGCGGGUGAUCGGCCACACUGGGACUGAGACACGGCCCAGACUCCUACGGGAGGCAGCAGUAGGGAAUCUUCGGCAAUGGACGAAAGUCUGACCGAGCAACGCCGCGUGAGUGAAGAAGGUUUUCGGAUCGUAAAACUCUGUUGUUAGAGAAGAACAAGGACGUUAGUAACCGAACGUCCCCUGACGGUAUCUAACCAGAAAGCCACGGCUAACUACGUG